rfam:Vibrio variabilis DNA, contig: contig00011, strain: JCM 19239.
GCAAUCUCGGAAUGAAUCUGGGGGAUACGCGUCGUAACCAUUCGAGCUGAUUGUGAUACGACGUAGGGUAGGUACUGAUUAUGCCAAUAAUCAGUAGACGGGAUACUGAUGCUAGAAGGGCAUAUUAAUGGGAAACCCAACA